GUUCUCAUGGUGUAGUGGUUAUCACAUCCGCUUAACACGAGGAAGGUCCCAGGUUUGAAACCUGGUGGGAACA
rnacentral:tRNA from 1 species